CCUACGGGAGGCUGCAGUGAGGAAUAUUGGUCAAUGGACGAGAGUCUGAACCAGCCAAGUAGCGUGAAGGAUGACUGCCCUAUGGAUUGUACACUUCUUUUAUAAAGGAAUAAAACGCGGCACGUGUGCCUUUUUGCAUGUACUUUAUGAAUAAGGAUCGUCUAACUCCGUGCCAGCAGCCGCGGUAAUACGGAGGAUCCGAGCGUUAUCCGGAUUUAUUGGGUUUAAAGGGAGCGUAGAUGGGUUUUUAAGUCAGUUGUGAAAGUUUGCGGCUCAAACGUAAAAUUGCAGUUGAAACUGGCAGUAUUGAGUACAGUAGAGGUGGGCGGAAUUCGUGGUGUAGCGGUGAAAUGCUUAGAUAUCACGAAGAACCCCGAUUGCGAAGGCAGUUCACUGGACUGCAACUGACACUGAGGCUCGAAAGUGUGGGUAUCAAACAGGAUUAGAUACCCUUGUAGUC
rnacentral:rRNA from 1 species